rnacentral:rRNA from 1 species
UACGUAGGGGGCAAGCGUUGUCCGGAAUCAUUGGGCGUAAAGCGCGUGUAGGCGGCCUUGUAAGUCCGUUGUGAAAGCCCGGGGCUCAACCCCGGGAGGCGGAUGGAUACUGCAGGGCUCGAGUACGGAAGAGGCGAGUGGAAUUCCCGGUGUAGCGGUGAAAUGCGCAGAUAUCGGGAGGAACACCGGUGGCGAAGGCGGGUCUCUGGGCCGAUACUGACGCUGAGGAGCGAAAGCGUGGGGAGCGAACAGG